rnacentral:rRNA from 1 species
GAUGAACGCUGGCGGCGUGCCUAAUUCAUGCAAGUCGAGCGAACAGAUGAUGAGCUUGCUCCUCUGACGUUAGCGGCGGACGGGUGAGUAACACGUGGAUCACCUCCCUAUAAGACUGGGAUAACUUCGGGACACCGGAGCUAAUACCGUAUAAUAUAUUGAACCGCAUGGUUCAAUAGUGAAAGACGGUUUUGCUGUCACUUCUAGAUGGAUCCGCGCCGCAUUAGCUAGUUGGUAAGGUAACGGCUUACCAAGGCAACGAUGCGUAGCCGACCUGAGAGGGUGAUCGGCCACACUGGAACUGAGACACGGUCCAGACUCCUACGGGAGGCAGCAGUAGGGAAUCUUCCGCAAUGGGCGAAAGCCUGACGGAGCAACGCCGCGUGAGUGAUGAAGGUCUUCGGAUCGUAAAACUCUGUUAUUAGGGAAGAACAAAUGUGUAAGUAACUAUGCACGUCUUGACGGUACCUAAUCAGAAAGCCACGGCUAACUACGUG